CAGUAGCCACGGUAAUACGAGGGGGGCAAGCGUUGUUCGGAAUUAUUGGGCGUAAAGCGCACGUAGGCGGAUCCUUAAGUCAGAGGUGAAAUCCCAAGGCUCAACCUUGGAACUGCCUUUGAUACUGGGGAUCUCGAGUUCGGGAGAGGUGAGUGGAAUUCCCAGUGUAGAGGUGAAAUUCGUAGAUAUUGGGAAGAACACCAGUGGCGAAGGCGGCUCACUGGACCGACACUGACGCUGAGGCGCGAAAGCGUGGGGAGCAAACAGGAUUAGAUACCCCGGUAGUCCCUGUCUCUUAUAA
rnacentral:rRNA from 1 species